GAUGAACGCUGGCGGCGUGCCUAAUACAUGCAAGUCGAGCGAACGGACGAGAAGCUUGCUUCUCUGAUGUUAGCGGCGGACGGGUGAGUAACACGUGGAUAACCUACCUAUAAGACUGGGAUAACUUCGGGAAACCGGAGCUAAUACCGGAUGAUAUUUUGAACCGCAUGGUUCAAAAGUGAAAGACGGUCUUGCUGUCACUUAUAGAUGGAUCCGCGCUGCAUUAGCUAGUUGGUAAUGUAACGGCUUACCAAGGCAACGAUGCAUAGCCGACCUGAGAGGGUGGUCGGCCACACUGGAACUGAGACACGGUCCAGACUCCUACGGGAGGCAGCAGUAGGGAAUCUUCCGCAAUGGGCGAAAGCCUUACGGAGCAACGCCGCGUGAGUGAUGAAGGUCUUCGGAUCGUAAAACUCUGUUAUUAGGGAAGAACAUAUGUGUAAGUAACUGUGCACAUCUUGACGGUACCUAAUCAGAAAGCCACGGCUAACUACGUG
rnacentral:rRNA from 1 species